UACGUAGGGUGCGAGCGUUAAUCGGAAUUACUGGGCGUAAAGCGUGCGCAGGCGGUUAUUUAAGUCAGGUGUGAAAGCCCUGGGCUUAACCUAGGAAUUGCGCUUGAGACUGGAUAGCUUGGAGUGCGGCAGAGGGAGGUGGAAUUCCACGUGUAGCAGUGAAAUGCGUAGAGAUGUGGAGGAACACCGAUGGCGAAGGCAGCCUCCUGGGCCAGCACUGACGCUCGUGCACGAAAGCGUGGGGAGCAAACAGG
rnacentral:rRNA from 1 species